CCUACGGGAGGCUGCAGUGGGGAAUAUUGCACAAUGGGGGAAACCCUGAUGCAGCGACGCCGCGUGAGUGAAGAAGUAAUUAGUUACGUAAAGCCCCAUCAGCAGGGAAGCAAAUGACGGUACGUGAGUAAGAAGCCCCGGCUAACUACGUGCCAGCAGCCGCGGCAAUACGGAGGGGGCAAGCGUUAUCCGGAUUUACUGGGCGUAAAGGGAGCGUAGACGGUGGGCCAAGUCUGGAGGGAAAUGCCGCAGGUUAACUGCGGAACUGCUUUGGAAACUGGCGAACUAGAGUGCGGGAGGGGUAAGCGGAAUGCCUAGUGUAGCGGUGAAAUGCGUAGAUAUUAGGAGGAACACCGGUGGCGAAGGCAGCAUACUGGAGCGUAACUGACGUUGAGGCACGAAAGCGUGGGGAGCGAACAGGAUUAGAUACCCCAGUAGUC
rnacentral:rRNA from 1 species